rnacentral:lncRNA from 1 species
AGCUGUUUCUAAGCUUCCGUCAGAUGGAUCUUCCAUAUCUGAAGACCCAACUAGACGAAUUAAAAUUGAAGGUGGUAUCCAGUCAUUGUGUGUUAUGUCACCUGGCGGUGCAUCAUCACUGCCCAGUAUAGAAACUCCUGGAUCUGCUACCCAGCCUGAUGAGGAAUUCAAGCCAAAUGCUGCUAUGGAAGAACUAAUAAUCAAUUUUCUUAUAAGAGUAAGGCUCCCACCUUCUACCAAUGAGCGUGUUUAUAACUUUCCCGUUCAUUCUUUUUUAUUUAUUUAGGGAGGGGUGAUGUUCUGAAAUUUCAGAGCCCAUUCUUCUCUGAGCAAUUUUGUAUCUAUAGAGGUGGCGUUUGGCAGUAGCAGUCCUACAGCAGUAUUUAUUCUGUAUAGAAUUAUAUAAGCGGUUGUGAGGAACGUAGGUUUUCUAAGUUUUGGAUCUGGUUAAGUUCUAGACCUGUAAUAAUUUCGACAUGUUAGUUGUACGUGACAUUGUUCUAGCUAUAGAACUCUUUUAUUAGUUGAGUUCUGUUUAUUACUGUACUUAAAACUUCCUUUCCUCUUCCUUCAACAGGUAGCAGUGGUCAUUGAGCUUAAGGACAGGGAAGCCAACACUAUGUACAAACAAGCUUUAGAUUUUCUUUCACAAGCUUUGGAAGUUUGGCCAAAUGCGAACGUCAAGUUUAACUAUUUAGAAAAGCUGUUAGGCAGCAUGCUACCGUCUCAGUCAGAUCCGUCCGCAGCACUUGCUCAGGGCUUGGAUGUCAUGAACAAAGUUCUGGAGAAGCAGCCGCAUCUUUUCAUUAAGAACAACAUCAGCCAAAUAGCACAGGUAAACUUGCUGCAGUAAGCUGCACCCUAAUAUGUUAAACAUCUCUGCUUUCUGCCUCGUAUUGACUAUUUUUUCCUUUACCAGUUUCUUGAGCUGUCUUUCAAACACAAGAUGUUGGAUGCUGGUAAAUCGUUAUGCUCUUUGUUGAAGAUGGUCAUCAUCACCUUCCCACAGGAUGGAGCUAGUACACCUCCUGACAUAAAGCUAUUGUAUCAGAAAGUCAGUGAGCUGGUACAGAAACAUGUACAUACUGCUUCACAAGCUUCAGGAGACGAUAACUCUCUCGGUUCAUUCAGCUUUGUACUUAAUAUCCUCAAAACCUUGGCAGAGGUACAGAAAAACUUUGUUGAUCCAUAUGUACUGGUGCGUAUCCUUCAGCGUCUGGCACGGGAUCUGGGAUUGGCAACGGGUGCUCAUCCUACACAAGUAAGUUAUUCUUUAUUAAUAGCUACUUUCUGAUAUGGUCUUAUUGUAGAUUUUCUGAUUUAUAUUUCACUAGGGUUUUUGUUGUUAAUCACAUCUCAAAUUUUGUAGGUUUCUGCUGAGUAUGACGAACCUUUGAGGAUCGAACUUUUGCAGUUAGCUACUUUGCUUCUGAAAUAUCUUCAGGGUGAGCUGGUUCAUCAUCGAAAAGAGCUUAUCAAGUUUGGAUGGAAUCAUCUCAAACGGGAAGAUAGUCCCAGUAAACAGUGGGCAUUUGUUAAUGUUUGCCACUUCUUGGAUGCGUAUCAGGCUCCGGAGAAAAUCAUUCUGCAGGUAUCAUUUCAGUUGUUACUGCAAUUUUUUUUAUUGUUUCUAUGGAAAGGUGCAAAAGGAAAAAUACGUAACUUCUUAUAUCAGUGUAUAUAAUUUGAUCCAUAAUAAACCUGAAAGUAAGCAUGUGCCUAACAAUUCUCCUCCAUCUAAUCCAGUGAUAUAAACAUGCUUUUGUCAAUUGGAUAUAGGUUUUUGUUGCGCUUCUCAGGACAUACCAGCCGGAGAAUAAGAUGCUAGUUAAGCAAGCCCUGGAUAUUCUAAUGCCAGCAUUACCUAAAAGGCUUGCGUUUGGAGAUUCAAGAGUGCCUAUUUGGAUAAGAUAUACCAAAAAAAUUUUGGUGGAGGAGGGUCACUCAAUUCCAAAUUUGAUCCACAUCUUCCAACUCAUUGUUCGGCACUCGGAUCUGUUUUACAGUUGUAGAGCACAGUUUGUACCUCAGAUGGUGAAUUCCUUGAGUCGCCUAGGUUUACCAUCUAACACUACAGCAGAAAAUAGGCGGCUCGCAAUCGAUCUUGCUGGACUGGUUGUUAGCUGGGAAAGGCAAAGACAGACUGAAAUCAAAGUGGUUAUUGAUGGCAAUGCAACCAGUGAGGUUGGUGAUGGGUUACAUCCUUCAUCCUUAGCUGUUUCUAAGCUUCCGUCAGAUGGAUCUUCCAUAUCUGAAGACCCAACUAGACGAAUUAAAAUUGAAGGUGGUAUCCAGUCAUUGUGUGUUAUGUCACCUGGCGGUGCAUCAUCACUGCCCAGUAUAGAAACUCCUGGAUCUGCUACCCAGCCUGAUGAGGAAUUCAAGCCAAAUGCUGCUAUGGAAGAACUAAUAAUCAAUUUUCUUAU